UUGGAGGGCAAGUCUGGUGCCAGCAGCCGCGGUAAUUCCAGCUCCAAUAGCGUAUAUUAAAGUUGUUGCAGUUAAAAAGCUCGUAGUUGAAUUUCGGGACUAACAGAUUGGUCGCGCCUUUGGUGUGUACUGGUCUAGUUGGUUUCUCCCUUCUGACGAACCACGAUGUCAUUAAUUUGGUGUCGUGGGAAAUCAGGACUGUUACUUUGAAAAAAUUAGAGUGUUUAAAGCAAGCGCUAGCUUGAAUACAUUAGCAUGGAAUAAUGAAAUAGGACGUUUGACCCUAUUUUGUUGGUUUCUAGGAUCGACGUAAUGAUUAAUAGGGAUAGUUGGG
rnacentral:rRNA from 1 species